rnacentral:rRNA from 1 species
CUUGCCCUACGGGGGGCAGCAGUGGGGGAUAUUGCACAAUGGGGGAAACCCUGAUGCAGCGACGCCGCGUGGGAGAAGAAGCGCCUCGGCGCGUAAAGCCCUGUCAGCAGGGAAGAAAAUGACGGUACCUGCAGAAGAAGCCCCGGCUAACUACGUGCCAGCAGCCGCGGUAAUACGUAGGGGGCAAGCGUUAUCCGGAUUUACUGGGUGUAAAGGGGGCGCAGACGGCGAUGCAAGCCAGGAGUGAAAGCCCGGGGCGCAACCCCGGGACUGCUCUUGGAAAUGCGUG